rnacentral:rRNA from 1 species
GACAGAGGGUGCAAGCGUUGUUCGGAAUUACUGGGCGUAAAGCGCGCGCAGGCGGCUAUCCAAGUCAGUGGUGAAAGCCCGGAGCUCAACUCCGGAACUGCCAUUGAAACUGUUUAGCUUGAGGACGAGAGAGGUGAGUGGAAUUCCCAGUGUAGAGGUGAAAUUCGUAGAUAUUGGGAAGAACACCGGUGGCGAAGGCGGCGACCUGGUCCUUGACUGACGCUGAGGCGCGAAAGCGUGGGGAGCAAACAGG